UGCAUUCUUCCCGUUCCCUUCCUUCCCCAAUGUUUACCAAAGGGCACCAAUACUUUUUUUGUUGGGUGACACGGAAUUUUUUAAGAAGAUAUAUAUUUGUCGAACGAAUUUAGGUAUUUAGCAGUUACUGCUACCUCUUCAUUUACCAGUGCACUGGAACUAGAAUGAACCCCAUGUGCUAAUUAUCUGAGAAAAGGCCUUUCUAACAAUCCAGAUACCUUGUUGAUAACCACCACAAGCCUUUAUCUGAUGUUAAAAAACAAUUGUAUAGGCAGUAACGCGGAGUCGAUCUUGUCUUCGUUUUUAUGAGGCUUUCAUUUUUUCUUCUGCCAUCGAUGAUCUUGGAUACUUCAGAGUAACAAUGGAGUAAGCUUUGACCGUCGGUGAGAAAAACCGAAUGAUGUAUUCAAUAAAUUAAAAUAAUGAAUCUUAAUUUAUUGCCUUUUAAGGUGGCCAUGAAAACUCUCUCUCCGACAGAUGCAAAGAAUCAAACUGAGUCAUAAUUUUAGUGAACAAUUUUACAGUUCCUUGUACUCCAUUUUCAUUGGUAAUGAGACCAGAGGUUCUAGAUGUGAAACGAAAUGAUAGCAAGAAGCAACGCAAACAUCCUGCUUUAAGGAUUCUGCUGAUCAUCACUCUCGGUAUAGCUUCUUUUGCUGCUAAACCCAGAGUGGGAAGUCCACAGAAAAGGAUAUCAUCAUCCACAACAAUCAGAUGGUUCUGCAAGCUGCCUGAAAGAACUCUGGGUUUUGUGAAAAGACGCAGACGAUGCCGCAAUUAAAAUGAAAGAAGAUGCUAUGUGUAAAAGACGCGAACCUCAUCUGUAAAAAAUCCUCAUUUAUUUCCAUCUACGAAUGUAAUCAUUUUCAUUGUAUGUAGUAACUAUUAGUAUUUUCAUUAAAUAUUCAAAUUAACCAUCAGUUAGACUAGUUUAUUAAAAACACUUAGAAUCCAACAGCCAUCUCUGGAGUAAGUUCACAAACAGGUGUAGAA